GACGAACGCUGGCGGCGUGCUUAACACAUGCAAGUCGAACGGAAAGGCCCUGCUUUUGUGGGGUGCUCGAGUGGCGAACGGGUGAGUAACACGUGAGUAACCUGCCCUUGACUUUGGGAUAACUUCAGGAAACUGGGGCUAAUACCGGAUAGGAGCUCCUGCUGCAUGGUGGGGGUUGGAAAGUUUCGGCGGUUGGGGAUGGACUCGCGGCUUAUCAGCUUGUUGGUGGGGUAGUGGCUUACCAAGGCUUUGACGGGUAGCCGGCCUGAGAGGGUGACCGGCGACAUUGGGACUGAGAUACGGACCAGACUCCUACGGGAGGCAGCAGUGGGGAAUAUUGCACAAUGGGAGGAAGCCUGAUGCAGAGACGCCGCGUGCGGGAUGACGGCCUUCGGGUUGUAAACCGCUUUCGCCUGUGACGAAGCGUGAGUGACGGUAAUGGGUAAAGAAGCACCGGCUAACUACGUG
rnacentral:rRNA from 1 species